CCUACGGGAGGCAGCAGUGAGGAAUAUUGGUCAAUGGCCGCAAGCCUGAACCAGCCAAGUAGCGUGAAGGAUGACUGCCCUACGGGUUGUAAACUUCUUUUAUCAAGGAAUAAAGUGAGGCACGUGAGCCUUUUUGUAUGUACUUUAUGAAUAAGGAUCGGCUAACUCCGUGCCAGCAGCCGCGGUAAUACGGAGGAUCCGAGCGUUAUCCGGAUUUAUUGGGUUUAAAGGGGGCGUAGAUGGGUUGUUAAGUCAGGUGUUAAAGUUUGCGGCUCAACCGUAAGAGUGCAAUUGAUACUGGCUGUCUUGAGAUGAGGAGAGGUAGGCGGAAUGCGUAGUGUAGCGGUGAAAUGCUUAGAUAUUGCGAAGAACUCCGAUUGCGAAGGCAGCAUACAAGCGGCGAUCUGACGUUGAUGCACGAAAGUGUGGGUAUCAAACAGGAUUAGAUACCCUAGUAGUC
rnacentral:rRNA from 1 species